rnacentral:rRNA from 1 species
AUUGAACGCUGGCGGCAUGCCUUACACAUGCAAGUCGAACGGCAGCACGGGUGCUUGCACCUGGUGGCGAGUGGCGAACGGGUGAGUAAUACAUCGGAACGUACCUUAUCGUGGGGGAUAACGCAGCGAAAGCUGUGCUAAUACCGCAUACGCCCUGAGGGGGAAAGCGGGGGAUCGCAAGACCUCGCGCGAUUAGAGCGGCCGAUGCCUGAGCAGCUUGUUGGUGGGGUAAAAGCCCACCAAGGCGACGAUCAGUAGCUGGUCUGAGAGGACGAUCAGCAACACUGGGACUGAGACACGGCCCAGACCCCUACGGGAGGCAGCAGUGGGGAAUUUUGGACAAUGGGGGCAACCCUGAUCCAGCAAUGCCGCGUGAGUGAAGAAGGCCUUCGGGUUGUAAAGCUCUUUUGUCAGGGAAGAAACACCGGCUCUAACACAGUCCGGGAAUGACGGUACCUGAAGAAUAAGCACCGGCUAACUACGUGCCAGCCGCCGCCGUAA